GUACUUCGUCGGGCCACAACCCUCUGACGUCGACUUCAAAACACUUCCGUAAAUAUUCCACUCCGUUUUUAGUGUACUAGCUAGCAUACGAAGUGUUUGGAAAUAUUUCUUUUUUGCUACAUUUAUCUAAAUAGAAUGAAGGCCAAGGGAUUUGCAGUAGCCCAUCACCAGUAAAGGUAAAGCGUUAGUUAGCCUAGCAGGUAAACGGACAACUAACCUAGUUAGCUGGGACACACUCUUUUUUUUCUCAACCACUUCGAUAGAGCUACGACCGGAAAUGAUAUUAAUAGCAGGUUAGGAGGGCAGUUUUGCUAACCAUAAUUAUUUUCAUAACCUUAUUAACAAAAUUGUCCUAACCUGCUACACUGAUUCUCAUAACCCGUUGCGUAAUAAUUUGUCCUAAUCUGCUACGAGAAAGGUAACUUCCGGUCGUAGCUGUAUCGAAGUGGCGUGAAGAGUGUUUCUCAUAGUUAGAUAGCUACAUCUCCAAAUACGAUGUAGGCAUUUGCAGGCACUUGGCUAGCUCAUUUAUAUAGGGGAAAUUACAUUAUCUGUCUAGCUCAUUUAGAAAUGAAUGUCAUCGGGGGGUUUUGAUUAGUUUGUCUUUUGUAGAGACAUUGGUGCAAAAUGGAUGUUGACGUUAAACUAGAGGAAGAUGAGAGGGAGAUAUCCCAAACAAUAAUUUGGUCUGAUUCGAUUAAUGCCUGGAUAGAUUACCCAAAUUCAACAUUGUCAGGAAACACAGAAACAGGUUACCAUGUGGGUUUACUGAAAGAUAAUUCACAUGUACAUCCCAUCAGUCCCCAAACAACAAGCCAAGGGCAGAUUUUACGUAUUUUUCCUGAAAUGACCGGAGCAAGUGAUGUGGAGAACAGGGCUGUCAAAGUGGUUUAUUUCUGUAAAGAUCAAGAUACCAUCGGCACAUCUGAAGUUAAUUCAAUCAAAGAGCGAUCGUGGCAUUUAGCACCAUCCAGUGAUAUUCUGACAGGACAUGCAUCCGCCUUCAGUGGUUAUUUUGAAGCUGAAAUCAACCCAACUUCGCAGGUUUCUUGCCAAACACAGACCCAGAUCAAUAAUGAAUUGCCCUCUGACAAUGUUAAUAUCCCAAGCCAUAGUACUGCCAUUCAUUCUGUGCUAACCUCACCUGCUACAGAAAGCGGCUGUAAUUUAGCUGUAUCUACUAGGCCUAUUCUUCCAGAAUAUUGUGAGCCAUUGAACUUUCCCUCUGAUGAAGAGGAAAACUACAAUGUCAAUUUAAGACAAAGACUACAAUGCCAGAAAACGUUAGAGGAUAAAUAUAUACGUCAGUGUCGUGGCAGUUACUCAAGACCAAACCUAAGAAAGUUUGGGAAAUACUGGAAAGAUCCAUACGCCAAGUGCAAGGAGAUGGGUGUAGAUUUCAAUGUUGGAUCAGGAGCGAAACAGAAACUUGAUUUGCAUUUACUGACAUUUGGUGUAAUGCUUGAGGUGUCAGAAUAUGCUAGAAACAUUAAUAGAUCUCGCCCUCAUGUUAUCUUUGAUAUUCUAGAUUACAACUUUGGUCUUGGUGUACAAAAUGAACAACAAUAUGACUUUUCAAACAAGAUAGAAAAGAAAUUAAAAGAAAUGCUGAAGAUGCAUUCCAAGAGAACACCUGCGUGGUUAACAGAAGUGUUUGAACUUCCUGAUCCAAAGACGGUUAAAGUUUUGGAAUACUCCCUUAAAUGGGCACAGUUCUAUUUACAAAACAGCUGGUCAAAUCCUACACCGUUUGACAUUUGCAUAAAGGAGGAGCCUGUUGUUGGCCUGAUCUCUCCUCUGCAUGUGACGACAGAGAGCUUCUCUACCGAGACAGAUGUAACACGAUGUGCUGAUGAGACUGCAAUCCUUGGCCCUGAAAAUGGACGUAAUGAUAUCUGCACAAGGUAUGAACCUGAUAUGGGCAUCGUCUAUCCUCAACAUGUCCAGGCGGACACCUUCACAUCUCAGACAGAUAUAACAAUGGGCCAAUCCUUAAUAAUGCCCACUGUAGAAGAAGCAUUGAGGGACCUCUACCCCAUCUGUAAGGAAAAAGGACUUGACAUUGUUGUGAAAUCAAAAUAUGGGAAAGCUGAGAAACUUGACUUGCAUCUAUUGACCAGAGAUGUAAUGUUUGAAUUGGCUGAUUUUGCCUCACAAGUGUGUGGAAAUUGGAAGCAGAUUGUGUGUGAGGUUCUCGAGCAUAAUUUUGAUUUGGAUUUAAAAAGUGGUAAAACUGAGCUGGCUGAAGAUAUUAUGGGAAGGUUAAGAGCAGUUUUGCAGCGCAAGACGGGUAAAAACGGUACAUGGAGAUGGGAACUUGAAAAUGAAGCUUUCUUCUUAAAGAAGUCACGCAAACGAAAGAAUCCUGCAGAGAUGUCCAGUAACCAGAAGGUCACUACAGCAUCACUUGAGCCAAAAUACCAAAUGAAAGAAGUAUCAAAAAGAAGGAGAUUGAAUUUAAUGAGGAAGAAGAAAGACAUGGACAUGUUUGUAACCAAGGAGACUGAGGGAGGCCAUUUUUUUGAAGUCAUACAAAUAGAACCUCAUUGUGUCAAAACAGAGAGAAUCUCUGAUGACACUGACCUUGCACUUUGUACUGAUGAAACAAAGCAAAUUGGUAACAACAAUGUAGACCAAUCAAAUGUGACGUCUCACACCAAAAAAAUGGUGAAAGCCGAAGCGUGCUACCCACUCUGUGAGGAAAUAGGCGUGGACCUUGAUGUUGCAUCCAAACCUUCUAAAAAUAAACUGGAAUUUCACUUACUGACAAACGGUGUAAUAUUUGAGGUGUAUAAAUAUGCUAAGAUAAAAUCCUAUCAUAAAAAAGAAAAAAGAUUUGGCUAUAUUCUCUUUGAUAUUCUAAAAUAUAAUUUUGAUCUUAGUUUGCAAAAUCAGAGACGUAAUCUAUUUCAACUGCGUAUUAACUGUAAAGUGAAAAGAAUGGUUCAGAAACACAAACCUGAGCUCUUGGGAAAAGGAGAAAUCUCUAAAGAAGUGUUCAUACUACCGAGUGUGAUUAAAAGCCAAGCAAAAAAAAAAACUGUGCUUUCAGAUUAUUUUCCUGAAAAAAAUAUAGAACAAGAUGCAAGGCUGGUUUAUCCUCAUCAUAGUAAAGACACUAUCGCUGUGGAGACAGUUGAAACAAUCUCCACUGAUGAAGCAGUAAUGCUUGGCCAGGAUAAUGGACCUGCUGACAUCUGCAUAAAGGAGGAGUCUGAUCUUCACUCUGAGGUCAAACUGGUUUAUUUCUGCAAAGACCAAGAAACUGUCAGAACAUCUGAAGAGCAUUUGAUCAAAGAUGGAUCAUGGCAUGGAUCAACACCCAGUAAUAUUCUGACUGGAAAUGUAUUCAGCCUUCCACAGUCGCCACUACCAGCUGCAGAAAGUGGUCCUUUCGGAAGUAAAAUCAAGUCAACAUCACAGAUAUAACCAGAAGGUCCCUGCAGCAUCACUUGAGCCAAAAUACCAUAGGCUCACAGAAGUAACAGGGGGAAAAAAGGGAUUUAAUGAGGAUAAAUAAAUGUUUAUAGCCAAGAAGGAAAAGAAAGUUGUCAGACAAGUAGAACCUCAUUGAGAUGAGAUGGAGAGCAUCUGCCAAGGAAAAGAAAAGCACUUCCUGACUGAGCUCUCAGGGAAAAGAAAAGCACUUCCUGACUGAGCUCUCAGGGAAAAGAAAAGCACUUCCUGACUGAGAUCUCAGGGAAAAGAAAAGCACUUCCUGACUGAGCUCUCAGGGAAAAGAAAAGCACUUCCUGACAGAUCUCAGGGAAAAGAAAAGCACUUCCUGACUGAGAUCUCAGGGAAAAGAAAAGCACUUCCUGACUGAGCUCUCAGGGAAAAGAAAAGCACUUCCUGACUGAGAUCUCAGGGAAAAGAAAAGCACUUCCUGACUGAGCUCUCAGGGAAAAGAAAAGCACUUCCUGACUGAGCUCUCAGGGAAAAGAAAAGCACUUCCUGACUGAGCUCUCAGGGAAAAGAAAAGCACUUCCUGACUGAGAUCUCAGGGGAAAAAAAGAUGCAAGAUGGAAAGAAAAGUCUGAUCUGCUCCCUAGGGAAAAGCCAGUUUCUUAUUUGCCUGGGGGAAAAAAAGAUUGAUAUUGUUAUAUGUGAUGAAGUGCAACACGAGGUGGAUUCUUACUGAACUUUCAAAAUGCUUUGUAGUUGAGACUGGUUCUGAGAAGAAAUGCUAACAAAUCCUUGCUGAAUACAGAUCAGACAUCCUAGGAUUUGGGGGCUAUUAUAUUGGUCUUUUGGAUCAUACUUGGAAUGUGAAAAGGUUCCUAAUGUUAGUUUUAGGUCUCCCUGAAGUCCGUAGACUUCCAUUCUAUUACUCACCCUAGAACAGUCAACAAGCCUAACACGGAUGUGUAUUCAUUAGGCAUACUGUAGCUAAAUGUUUAAUGGGGAGUCAACAAGCCUAACACAGAUGUGUAUUCAUUAGGCAUACUGUAGCUAAAUGUUUAAUGGGGAGUCAACAAGCCUAACACAGAUGUGUAUUCAUUAGGCAUACUGUAGCUAAAUGUUUCAUGGGGAGUCAACAAGCCUAACACAGAUGUGUAUUCAUUAGGCAUACUGUAGCUAAAUGUUUAAUGGGUAGUCAACAAGCCUAACACAGAUGUGUAUUCAUUAGGCAUACUGUAGCUAAAUGUUUAAUGGGGAGUCAACAAGCCUAACACAGAUGUGUAUUCAUUAGGCAUACUGUAGCUAAAUGUUUCAUGGGGAGUCAACAAACCUAACACAGAUGUGUAUUCAUUAGGCAUACUGUAGCUAAAUGUUUCAUGGGGAGUCAACAAGCCUAACACAGAUGUGUAUUCAUUAGGCAUACUGUAGCUAAAUGUUUCAUGGGGAGGCUACACUAACGCUUCUUGGACCAAUUCAGAAAUUGGUACACAAGGAGUAGCCUAGUCUUUUUAGGAUUAAGUGAAAAUAGGGAGACAAUAUAUUUUAAACGUAUUCGUAUUAAGGGUUUUAGUCUUUUGAAUAGUGGAUUUUUGCAGAUUGCCUUGGCCUUCCUUCCUGUUUAACUGUUGAUGUCUGGUCUCGCUGUAGAGAAUGAAUACAGCAGGAUUAUUGCGAGACUUAUUUUUUUUCUCUUAACUAUUUUACACCGUAUUCAUUGAUGAGACAAACUCGACUACUUUUACAAGCCUCUAUAUAGAAGAAAACUUCUGAUCUUUUUUUGUUUAGAAAUAAAAAGACAAACAGAUAUAUUUUAUUUUGUAAGAGUAUGCAUUAGUGAAAUAACCUACUAUGAUGGGUCAUGUUUUUAUCUUUUUUUUUUAUCAGUGGGCUAUUUUGAUUUUUUUUUUUUUGCCCUUUUUUUGUGGAAAGGUUAAGAGACUGCAUCAAGACCUGCCUUACUGUUACCCACAUGUUCCUGUUUUGAACAUGGAGCUAUUCUACCGUAAACUAAGAUUUUUUUAAUUUUUUUUAAGGAUACUUCCACUGACAUUCUUAGAGGUGUCAUUUUAUUGUGAGGAACUGCAUUUCGAUCAGAAUAGUUUUUCUGUUUUGUCCUCUGUUUUUGUGAGUGACUCAGUCACUCGUCUCAGUGCACAAGUCUCCCCUUUCUCCAGACAUGGCGUAUGAAUCAGAAUCCGUAGCUAGUUAUGACACGUGAGCUUCUGGAUGAAAAGCAGAGUAUCCCUAAAGCAGCGUGGUCGUAUCAUCCCUUCUCCAUGUUGGACUAAACACUUUCAACUCUACACAAGUGAAAACCCCAAAUCCCUAAAGUGGUGGAGAAGGAGGCCACCUACAGAAUGUUAGGAGCAGUGGCUUGUUCCCAGGAGACCAACACUUGAGGACGCAACUUCUGUCAUGAUGACGAGGUGGCAUCUCCGCUGAUCCUCUAUUUGCCAUACUAGAGGGACAUGAAGUCUGACUCCAUCUUCAACAUGUGGACCUGCCCUGAUGAUGUUGGACACCACUGUUACACCUUCAGCCAUGUUGAUUUCCUGUCAGACUGGGUUUUUUAUUUUUUACUCCUUUCCAUGGACGGACUGACCUUUUACCAGAACAGGAAUACAAUGUUUAUCAGACCCUCCUCACCAGUGGACUAACUACUCAAACUGGUCGUGAAGUCACAGGAAAUAGACUGAUCUGUUAGGAGGGAUGCAGCAUUCUAAUCCUGGUUAGAUUAUAGUUAUAAGGAGAGUUCAGGUAGUAACCAGUACAUUGAGAUAAAUGUAGAUGUCCACACUCUGGACAAUAUAAAAGGCUUUGGAGAGGGACCACGUUUUCAGGAGAAGGAUAACAGGACCUUGUCCAGAAACAACCCCCAGCUCUGUAUGCAACUGUAUGCACAAUUCCCUGAUUCUAUUAAAUAAUGUAUUACAUUGCCUUUAUAAAAUUUCCUGUACACAUCACAUUUUAGAAAUUCAAUGGUCAUGAAAUUAUUAUUAUUUUUUCCGCAUUUACACUGUUUGGCCUUUUGUCGUGGAAUUGUUUGUGUGCAUCUUAAGAGUGGAAACCCUGUGUAUAGAUCUGAAAUGAUUCGCUCUUUAAACAUUUCAUCUAGCCUAUCAGUGGGUACGUUUUGUCACUUUUGCUUUGUUAUACCACAAUCUUUGAGUUUUACAUUAAUUCUAGUCUGGCAACAGGUUCUCUGGGUUUAAAUAAAAUGAGGUUUCCUAGGGUCUCAGAUGUAGAUAAAUCCUAAAAAUCAUGUUCAAUGGAGACUCACCGUUGAAAGUGUUUUUACAGGCCUGCUACACUGGACAGUAUUGUAGCAGGGCAUUAGAGGCUCUUACUUAAACCCGGCCAUGGUGUAGGUCCCUCAGGGUUGGGCUGAAUUCGAAAUGAAGGCAGUCAAUUCAGGAGGUAAUCACAAAUUACUAUAUUAAUUGUGGGGGGGAAAAAUGCAUUUUCAAUACUUAAUAAUAAAC
rnacentral:lncRNA from 1 species